GACGAACGCUGGCGGCGUGCCUAAUACAUGCAAGUCGAACGCUUUUUCUUUCACCGGAGCUUGCUCCACCGAAAGAAAAGGAGUGGCGAACGGGUGAGUAACACGUGGGUAACCUGCCCAUCAGAAGGGGAUAACACUUGGAAACAGGUGCUAAUACCGUAUAACAAUAGAAACCGCAUGGUUUCUAUUUGAAAGGCGCUUUUGCGUCACUGAUGGAUGGACCCGCGGUGCAUUAGCUAGUUGGUGAGGUAACGGCUCACCAAGGCAACGAUGCAUAGCCGACCUGAGAGGGUGAUCGGCCACAUUGGGACUGAGACACGGCCCAAACUCCUACGGGAGGCAGCAGUAGGGAAUCUUCGGCAAUGGACGAAAGUCUGACCGAGCAACGCCGCGUGAGUGAAGAAGGUUUUCGGAUCGUAAAACUCUGUUGUUAGAGAAGAACAAGGAUGAGAGUAAAAUGUUCAUCCCUUGACGGUAUCUAACCAGAAAGCCACGGCUAACUACGUGCCAGCAGCCGCGGUAAUACGUAGGUGGCAAGCGUUGUCCGGAUUUAUUGGGCGUAAAGCGAGCGCAGGCGGUUUCUUAAGUCUGAUGUGAAAGCCCCCGGCUCACCCGGGGAGGGUCAUUGGAAACUGGAGAACUUGAGUGCACAAGAGGAGAGUGGAAUUCCACGUGUAGCGGUGAAAUGCGUAGAUAUAUGGAGGAACACCAGUGGCGAAGGCGGCUCUCUGGUCUGUAACUGACGCUGAGGCUCGAAAGCGUGGGGAGCAAACAGGAU
rnacentral:rRNA from 1 species